rnacentral:rRNA from 1 species
UACCCGCUGAACUUAAGCAUAUCACUAAGCGGAGGAAAAGAAACUAACUAGGAUUCCCCCAGUAACUGCGAGUGAAGAGGGAAGAGCUCAUCAUUGGAAUCUGGCAGUGUUACACUGUCCGAGUUGUAGAUGAGGAGUAGUCCGUCUGGACUGCAUGGCGUCCAAGUACAAUAGGCCGUCAGUGGGACAUCAUAGAGGGUGACAAUCCCGUCCUUGACGCCAAUGUGCAAGUCUAUUACGAUGGCUAUCUCAGAGAGUCGAGCAGUUUGGGAUUUGCUGCUUAAACAUGGGAGGUAGAUUCCUUCUAAAGCUAAAUACAGGCGAGAGACCGAUAGAGAACAAGUACCGCAAGGGAAAGAUGAAAUAGCACUCUGUGAAGGGAGUCAAAAGGCGUGAAAUUGUUGCGAGAGAAGCGAUUCAAGUCAGCGUAGCUAGGCCCAUCAAGCGUCUUCGCUUUGGACUAGCUUUGCCAGCGGUCUUGUCCCUUAAAGAGACUUGACUUGUAAUAUGUCCAGCCUGGCGUGCACAGGCAGCCCCUUCUGGGGGCCAGUGGCAUGGCUGGUGGAAUGGCUUGCAAUCGACCCGUCUUGAAACACGGACCAAGGAGUCUAACAUGUAUGCGAGUAUAAGGGUGGCAAACCCGUAUGCGCAAUGAAAGUGAUUUUCGGUGAUUGAGAAUGGCCUGAUGACCAGACAAGCAAUAUAUGUCCCUCGUACGGCCAUUGCCCAAGUUCCGUGGUAGAUCCCACGAACAUGGAGUUGGAGCAUACAUGCUAGGACCCGAAAGAUGGUGAACUAUGCCUGGACAAAGCGAAGCCAAAGGAAACUCUGGUGGAGGCUUGUAGCGAUUCUGACGUGCAAAUCGAUCGUCUGAUCUGGGUAUAGGGGCGAAAGACUAAUCGAACCAUCUCAUAGCUGGUUCCUGCCGAAGUUUCCCUCAGGA